rnacentral:rRNA from 1 species
GGGGAAUAUUGCACAAUGGGCGAAAGCCUGAUGCAGCAACGCCGCGUGAGGGAUGACUGCCUUCGGGUUGUAAACCUCUUUUAGUAGGGAAGAAGCGAAAGUGACGGUACCUGCAGAAAAAGCACCGGCUAACUACGUGCCAGCAGCCGCGGUAAUACGUAGGGUGCAAGCGUUGUCCGGAAUUAUUGGGCGUAAAGAGCUCGUAGGCGGCUUGUCGCGUCUGCUGUGAAAUCCCGAGGCUCAACCUCGGGCCUGCAGUGGGUACGGGCAGGCUAGAGUGCGGUAGGGGAGAUUGGAAUUCCUGGUGUAGCGGUGGAAUGCGCAGAUAUCAGGAGGAACACCGAUGGCGAAGGCAGAUCUCUGGGCCGCUACUGACGCUGAGGAGCGAAAGCAUGGGGAGCGAAC